AGAGUUUGAUCCUGGCUGAGAACGAACGCUGGCGGCAUGCUUAACACAUGCAGGUCGAACGCUAUUUUAUAGAGUGGCGCACGGGUGAGUAACGCGUGGGAAUCUGCCCAUCUGCCUGGGAUAACAGCUGGAAACGGCUGCUAAUACCGGAUACGCCCUUCGGGGGAAAGGUCCGCCGCAGAUGGAGGAGCCCGCGUCUGAUUAGCUUGUUGGUAGGGUAAUGGCCUACCAAGGCUACGAUCAGUAGCUGGUCUGAGAGGAUGAUCAGCCACACUGGGACUGAGACACGGCCCAGACUCCUACGGGAGGCAGCAGUGGGGAAUAUUGGACAAUGGGGGCAACCCUGAUCCAGCAAUGCCGCGUGUGUGAUGAAGGCCUUAGGGUUGUAAAGCACUUUCACUGGUGAAGAUGAUGACGGUAACCAGAGAAGAAGCCCCGGCUAACUUCGUGCCAGCAGCCGCGGUAAUACGAAGGGGGCGAGCGUUGUUCGGAAUUACUGGGCGUAAAGGGAGCGCAGGCGGUUCAUUAAGUUAGGCGUGAAAGCCCCGGGCUCAACCUGGGAACUGCGUUUAAUACUGAUGAACUAGAAAACAGGGGAGGGUAGUGGAAUUUCCGGUGUAGAGGUGAAAUUCGUAGAUAUUGGAAAG
rnacentral:rRNA from 1 species